UACAGAGGGGGCUAGCGUUGUUCGGAAUUACUGGGCGUAAAGCGCACGUAGGCGGCUUCUUAAGUCGGAGGUGAAAUCCUGGAGCUCAACUCCAGAACUGCCUUCGAUACUGGGAAGCUCGAGUCCGGGAGAGGUGAGUGGAACUGCGAGUGUAGAGGUGAAAUUCGUAGAUAUUCGCAAGAACACCAGUGGCGAAGGCGGCUCACUGGCCCGGUACUGACGCUGAGGUGCGAAAGCGUGGGGAGCAAACAGG
rnacentral:rRNA from 1 species